rnacentral:rRNA from 1 species
AGUAAAUAGAUACCCAGGUAGUCCUAGCCGUAAACGAUACUCGCUAGGUGUCGGCCACGGUGCGACCGUUGUCGGUGCCGUAGGGAAAGCCGUGAAGCGAGCCACCUGGGAAGUACGGCCGCAAGGCUGAAACUUAAAGGAAUUGGCGGGGGAGCACCACAACGGGUGGAGCUUGCGGUUUAAUUGGAUUCAACGCCGGAAAUCUUACCGGGACCGACAGCAACAUGAAGGCCAGGCUGAAGACUUUGCCGGAUUAGCUGAGAGGUGGUGCAUGGCCGUCGUCAGUUCGUACUGUGAAAGCAUCCUGUUAAGUCAGGCAACGAGCGAGACCCACGCCCACAGUUGCCAGCGUACUCUCCGGAGUGACGGGUACACUGUGGGGACCGCCGCUGCUAAAGCGGAGGAAGGAAUGGGCAACGGUAGGUCAGUAUGCCCCGAAUAUCCCGGGCUACACGCGAGCUACAAUGGUUGGUACAAUGGGUAUCUACCCCGAAAGGGGAUGGAAAUCUCCUAAAGCCAAUCUUAGUUCGGAUUGAGGGCUGCAACUCG